UGUAGUCAGGCCGGCAAACGCCGCCACCGGAAGUUGGGUAUACGGUGCUGCCUGUGACCCAACCCCAGGAGGACUGGGA
rfam:West Nile virus isolate LEIV-Krnd88-190, complete genome.